GAGGGCGGCGGCAGGAGGUGGUCUAUGGCAUGAGUAGCUGUUGGUCUACAAAAUACAAUCUGAUUGAGUUUUCGUUCUUUUAUUUGAUAAUCGUUUGACCGAAUUUUUUUCUUCGGGGCUGCAUUUCUUCACAUGGAUUCUUCAUCAACUGUGAUCAAGAAGAAGGCCCAAGUAAGAAAACCAAGAUCGAAGCCCCACGCCAAUCUUACAAAAAGCAUUGUGUGCAAUUGUUUUCGCCAGAAUACGUAGAAGAUGUCAAAAUACAGACAUUGUAAUCUAACCGCCAAAUUUAAGGUAAAGACUAAAGAAAUACCAUCCCAGCCGCGUAGCACGGUUCGUUUAG